AUUGAACGCUGGCGGCAGGCCUAACACAUGCAAGUCGAACGAGUGGCGGACGGGUGAGUAAUGUCUGGGAAACUGCCCGAUGGAGGGGGAUAACUACUGGAAACGGUAGCUAAUACCGCAUACCAUCGGAUGUGCCCAGAUGGGAUUAGCUGGUAGGUGGGGUAAAGGCUCACCUAGGCGACGAUCCCUAGCUGGUCUGAGAGGAUGACCAGCCACACUGGAACGGAGACACGGUCCAGACUCCUACGGGAGGCAGCAGAGGGGAAUAGGGCGCAAUGGGCGCAAGCCUGAUGCAGCCAUGCCGCGUGUAUGAAGAAGGCCUUCGGGUUGUAAAGUACUUUCAGCGGGGAGGCGUUACUCGCAGAAGAAGCACCGGCUAACUCCGUGCCAGCAGCCGCGGUAAUAC
rnacentral:rRNA from 1 species